AAAAACGCAAGGAACAGGUCCAGUAGCAUCUUGAAAGCAAGCUGUCCGACAGAGAGCGUCCGUCACAGGCUGAAAGCGGCGCAGACAGACAAGGGUGUGAACCUUCACCUGGGAGCGGUCCUUUUGAAACAGCAGUAGAAAGGAACGGAGGGCACCGUUAUCUGCACAAUGAAGCUGCCGGUCCGGUUGGACCGGAAGAUGGGUGGUACCGCGGAAAGUUACCUGGCUUUUCGUCCCAGAC
rnacentral:ncRNA from 1 species